rnacentral:lncRNA from 1 species
GAGCCUUAGUGUUGGAUUUGAAGGAAGAAGCCCCAGGAGCUGCUGAGAGCUGUUUUAUAACCAUGAGCUCAAACUUUAUAGCAAGACAAAGCCAGAAUGUUCAGGUGAAGAAGCAGAGAAUGGCUGUGUGAGUUUCCUAGGCUGUCGGAACAGAGAGCCACAAACUGGGUGUCUUCAAUCCAUACAAAUGUAAUUAUCUCACAGUUCUGGAAGCUGGAAGUCUGAAAUCAAGGUGUCAGCGGGGCUAUGCUUCCUCUAAAGCCUCUAGCCAUGUAAAAUGUGCCUCCUUCGUCUUCUCAUUCUGCCAUGAUUGUAAGUUUCCUGAGGUCUCCCCAGCCACGCUUCCUGAACAGCCUGCGGAACGGCAGGAAUGAAAGAUUCUCCCCAGUGCCUGAAAGCUUGAAGGGAUGAAUAACUCCUCCCUUCUCAGGCCCAGUCCCAAGGCACAAGACCACUUGUGCCAGCAGCCAGCAGCGUGCAUCAGCAAGACAGCAGAAGCAGGAAGACAGCCUGCUGGAAGACACUUACCCUGGCCGGAAGACAUGUACCCCUGAAGAUGGAGAAAGAGGCCUUCCGGGUACUACGUAGCAGUCACGUCAGACCGGGACACUUCCUGUUUAGAGAGGACUAUAAAACUCCGGUCCGGUAAUCACUUGGGGCUGACGCCAUUUUAGGCCUCAUCCCGCCUGCACCCAGGCACUCAUUAAAACAGCGUGUUGCCCCA